GAGUAACACGUAUCCAACCUGCCGUCUACUCUUGGACAGCCUUCUGAAAGGAAGAUUAAUACAAGAUGGCAUCAUGAGUCCACAUGUUCACAUGAUUAAAGGUAUUCCGGUAGACGAUGGGGAUGCGUUCCAUUAGAUAGUAGGCGGGGUAACGGCCCACCUAGUCUUCGAUGGAUAGGGGUUCUGAGAGGAAGGUCCCCCACAUUGGAACUGAGACACGGUCCAAACUCCUACGGGAGGCAGCAGUGAGGAAUAUUGGUCAAUGGGCGAGAGCCUGAACCAGCCAAGUAGCGUGAAGGAUGACUGCCCUAUGGGUUGUAAACUUCUUUUAUAAAGGAAUAAAAUCGGGUAUGCAUACCCGUUUGCAUGUACUUUAUGAAUAAGGAUCGGCUAACUCCGUGCCAGCAGCCGCGGUAAUACGGAGGAUCCGAGCGUUAUCCGGAUUUAUUGGGUUUAAAGGGAGCGUAGAUGGAUGUUUAAGUCAGUUGUGAAAGUUUGCGGCUCAACCGUAAAAUUGCAGUUGAUACUGGAUAUCUUGAGUGCAGUUGAGGCAGGCGGAAUUCGUGGUGUAGCGGUGAAAUGCUUAGAUAUCACGAAGAACUCCGAUUGCGAAGGCAGCCUGCUAAGCUGCAACUGACAUUGAGGCUCGAAAGUGUGGGUAUCAAACAUGAUUAGAUACCCUGGUAGUCCACACGGUAAACGAUGAAUACUCGCUGUUUGCGAUAUACUGCAAGCGGCCAAG
rnacentral:rRNA from 1 species